GUCUAAGGCCAAACCACCCUAACCUCACCCAGUCCUGUCUGAUCUUGGAGGCGAAGCUCGGUUGAGCCUGGUUAGUACUUGCGUGGGGGAUGAGCUGGUGGGUAGGCA
rnacentral:rRNA from 1 species